CUGGAACAUGUUCAUCACAGACCAGUUUCCCUUUAUUACAGCAACAGUAACAAUGGAUCCAGCAGCCAAUCGCAGCUGAGAGGCGGGGCUCAGGUCGCCGGCAGAUCACAGGGCUCGCAAACAACCAAUCACACUCAUAUUCACUCCCAGCUCCAGCUGACCUGAGCUGCAUGUGUUGGCACUGGGGACAAACCCCCCACGGGGACACAUGCCACCAGCCGGUCGAGUUUCAAACCCCGAGUCGUCGCGUCUCUGCCCGUCACACACACGUGAAGCAAAGCACACGAGAACAGAAACUUCAAUCACCGCGAACGGAUCUGAGACUUCGCCUCGUCUCACUCUGGACGUUCAUGAGCUCCGUCUCCGCCUGCAGACGUCGGUCGAGAGGCUUCAAAGCGUUUCCUUCUCCUCCCUCCCUCCGCCUCGGUCGAGUCUCAAUCCCUGGAGAAGUGAAGCCGAUGAAAGAGCUUUACCAAUAUUCAGAUUAUAGAAGACUCAAGAAUAACAAGGAGGGGAAAUGUAAUCAGGCGAGAAGGUGAGAUGACAGAAGUAAAUCAUAAUACUCCUCCAGCAGUGGCAGAGGAGAACAGAAGCACAACGUUCCUUUGUCCGAGGUUUCAAACCACGACACUCAAACUAACAUCCACAUCACUCUGAGGUCUCGGUAGGAUUUCUUUAUGAGAACUGUUUCAAAUCCAGAAACAAUUCCCAAUCUUUCUUUCUUUUUCAUUAUUAUCUCCUGCUAAACAUUGGCCCCACAUGUACAUAUAGUAAACAUCCUCAGAGGCCACGGGUCAGUGUCACUGCAACAUCUUAUUAAAUAUGUACCUCCACCGGC